rnacentral:rRNA from 1 species
AUUGAACGCUGGCGGCAGGCCUAACACAUGAAAGUCGGGCGAGCGGCAGACGGGUGAGUAAUAUAUGGGGAUAUGCCCGAUGGAGGGGGAUAACUACUGGAGAAGGUAGCUAAUAGCGAAUACCAUCAGAUGCACACAUAUGGGAUUAGCUUGUAGGUAAGGUAACGGCUUACCUAGGCGACGAUCCCUAGCUGGUCUGAGUGGAUGAUCAGCCACACGGGGACUGAGACACGGCCCAGACUCCUACGGGAGGCAGCAGUGGGGAAUAUUGCACAAUGGGCGCAAGCCUGAUGCAGCCAUGCCGAGUGUAUGAAGAAGGCCUUCGGGUUGUAAAGUACGUUCAGUCGGGAGGCGUUACCGACAGAAGAAGCACCGGCUAACUCCGUGCCAGCAGCCGCGGUAAUAC